rnacentral:lncRNA from 1 species
UUUAUGCUUUGCUGAUAUAUUUAUUGAUAUAUUCCCCCUUUACAGUUGAUGGUGACAAAAAGCAGAUGGAGCCCUACCCUACCCACCCCCCCCACAAUAAAAUACAGACACAGAUUUCAUUCAGCAUAUACAAGCAUUGGGGCGUGUCCAAAUUCACCUCACUGGGUUACUAGAGCCAGGAGAGAUUAGAUCUUUGGGGCAGUCUGAGCACCUGGGGCCCAGGAAUUGAGCAGGCCAAUGCUGAAAAGAGGCUGCCACUCUGGGCCCUGCCACUGGGGUGUCAGCAGAGGCUAUAGAAUCAAAUCAUGGUGGAAAGAGCUGCCUAGCCCUGUCACGUGACAGUGGGCUCCUGGGUAGUUUCCAGUGAGAUCCACAGUCCCAUAGAAA